AAACCACAAAAACGAGAGACUAUAAUAAGAGUAAAGUGAUAUA
rnacentral:guide_RNA from 1 species